CCUGGCUUCCCGGCCCAGCCACCGCAGCAGCAGAGCCUUCUGGGAUACCCUCCGGGGGUCCGACCGCCCAUGCCCGGCUUCCCUGGCGGGGGGCCUCCCUACCCCCCCAACCAGUUUGGGGCCGGCCGUGGUAACUACGACAACUUCAGAGGUCAUUUAGGAGGAGGGGGGGGGUUUCCUGGGAAGCAGCGAAACAGCAGGGGCAUGCGAGGGGACCCACGGUCGAUCAUCGAGUACAGAGACCUCGACGCUCCAGACGACCUCGACUUCUUUUAAACAUUUUUUUACUUUUUUAUUCCCAUGAUUCCUUUAACUUCCCUCUGUUAUUUGUCUUUACGUUGUUUUGGAGUAGGACAAACUGUAGGAUGGCGUGUCUGUGUGUGUCUGUGUGUCUGUGUGUGUGUGUGUGUGAGUGAGUGCAGGACCAAUAUUGUUGUCAGUCAUUAGUGAUGAUGAUGAUGAUUCGUUCCACUUCCCAAUAAAGAUCCAUACAGGAGGAUGAUGAA